rnacentral:misc_RNA from 1 species
UGUGGGAGCGGGCUUGCUCGCGAAUACGGCUUGUCAGUUGAUAUAUGUGUCGACUGACCCGCCGCUUUCGCGAGCAAGCCCGCUCCCACA